GCACGCCGGACGACGUCCGCGAGAAGUCCACUGAACCUUAUCAUUUAGAGGAAGGAGAAGUCGUAACAAGGUUUCCGUAGGUGAACCUGCGGAAGGAUCAUUGUCGGUGCCCCCCGAAAUCGACGGAACGACCCGCGGACCGGUUUGAGAACGCCGCCGCCGUCGGGGCCGCGCGCCCGGACGGCACAAGAACCGACCCACCCCCGGCGCCAGUCGCGCCAAGGAAACGGAAAGAGAGCCCGCGCGCCCCCGUUCGGGAUCCCGUCCGGGGAGCGCCGGGCCGUGCCAGCGGCAUGCCACGCAUGCGCAAAACGACUCUCGGCAACGGAUAUCUCGGCUCUCGCAUCGAUGAAGAACGUAGCGAAAUGCGAUACUUGGUGUGAAUUGCAGAAUCCCGCGAACCAUCGAGUCUUUGAACGCAAGUUGCGCCCGAAGCCGUCCGGCCGAGGGCACGCCUGCCUGGGCGUCACGCAACGUCGCCCCCGCCCCACGGCGGGCGGGGCGCGGAGGAUGGCCUCCCGCGAGCGCGGGUCUCCCGGUUGGCCGAAACACGAGCGCGCGAGGGCAGUCGCCACGAUCCACGGUGGGAGGAGCGGAACCCGCUCGCGACCCGGCCGUGCGCGAGCUGCCGCCGAGCGACGCUGCAGGACCCAAGAGUCGUUGCUCCCGACGCGACCCCAGGUCAGGCGGGGACACCCGCUGAGUUUAAGCAUAUCAAUAAGCGGAGGAA
rnacentral:rRNA from 1 species